AUUGAACGCUGGCGGAAUGCUUUACACAUGCAAGUCGAACGGCAGCACGGGGCAACCUGGUGGCGAGUGGCGAACGGGUGAGUAAUACAUCGGAACGUGCCCAGUCGUGGGGGAUAACGUAGCGAAAGCUACGCUAAUACCGCAUACGAUCUACGGAUGAAAGCGGGGGAUCGCAAGACCUCGCGCGAUUGGAGCGGCCGAUGGCAGAUUAGGUAGUUGGUGGGGUAAAGGCCCACCAAGCCGACGAUCUGUAGCUGGUCUGAGAGGACGACCAGCCACACUGGGACUGAGACACGGCCCAGACUCCUACGGGAGGCAGCAGUGGGGAAUUUUGGACAAUGGGCGAAAGCCUGAUCCAGCCAUUCCGCGUGCAGGAUGAAGGCCCUCGGGUUGUAAACUGCUUUUGUACGGAACGAAAAGGUGCUCUCUAAUACAGGGCGCUCAUGACGGUACCGUAAGAAUAAGCACCGGCUAACUACGUGCCAGCCGCCGCAGUAA
rnacentral:rRNA from 1 species